rnacentral:rRNA from 1 species
GACGAACGCUGACGGCGUGCUUAACACAUGCAAGUCGAACGGUGAAGCGCCUUCCUUUUUGGUGGGUGUGGAUGAGUGGCGAACGGGUGAGUAACACGUGAGUAACCUGCCCCCUUCUUCUGGAUAACCGCAUGAAAGUGUGGCUAAUACGGGAUAUUCUGGGUCUGUCGCAUGAUGGGUCUGGGAAAGAUAUUGUUUCGGUGGGGGAUGGGCUCGCGGCCUAUCAGCUUGUUGGUGGGGUGAUGGCCUACCAAGGCGGUGACGGGUAGCCGGCCUGAGAGGGUGGACGGUCACACUGGCACUGAGACCCGGCCCAGACUCCUACGGGAGGCAGCAGGGGGGAAUAUUGCACAAUGGGCGCAAGCCUGAUGCAGCGACGCCGCGUGAGGGAUGGAGGCCUUCGGGUUGUGAACCUCUUUCGCCAGUGAAGCAGGCCUGCCUCGUUUGUGGGUGGGUUGACGGUAGCUGGAUAAGAAGCGCCGGCUAACUACGUG